GAUGAACGCUGGCGGCGUGCCUAAUACAUGCAAGUCGAGCGAACAGACGAGGAGCUUGCUCCUCUGACGUUAGCGGCGGACGGGUGAGUAACACGUGGAUAACCUACCUAUAAGACUGGGAUAACUUCGGGAAACCGGAGCUAAUACCGGAUAAUAUAUUGAACCGCAUGGUUCAAUAGUGAAAGACGGUUUUGCUGUCACUUAUAGAUGGAUCCGCGCCGCAUUAGCUAGUUGGUAAGGUAACGGCUUACCAAGGCGACGAUGCGUAGCCGACCUGAGAGGGUGAUCGGCCACACUGGAACUGAGACACGGACCAGACUCCUACGGGAGGCAGCAGUAGGGAAUCUUCCGCAAUGGGCGAAAGCCUGACGGAGCAACGCCGCGUGAGUGAUGAAGGUCUUCGGACCGUAAAACUCUGUUAUUAGGGAAGAACAAAUGUGUAAGUAACUAUGCACGUCUUGACGGUACCUAAUCAGAAAGCCACGGCUAACUACGUG
rnacentral:rRNA from 1 species